AUUUUGAGUAUGAUUUGAACAGUUGUAUAACAUUUUGUCUUAAUGGUAAUUUUCUAAAAAAAAAAAAAAAAUCAGUGAAUUGAAUUCAGUGAUGUUAAGUGAAUGCAACAAUAUUAUUUGACAAGUCUGUAAUCUGUCUGCUCCCGUAAGAAAGAGGCAGCAGUCCGAGUUGUAUUAUAUCCUAUUCCAACCUGUUGCCUGCUGUAGAAUCACACAUGCACCAAUGAAAAUAUACAUGCUGAGUGAACCAAUUUCUGAGGCAAUACCACUUAACUAAGAAGCUGUACAUAGGAUAAAACUCUGCUAAAAGUAAAAGCAUAAAGCUUUUGGUAAAUGCAAACUAGUUUUUCCUUGUUACUGACCUAAGUAUCUAGAGUAAAACUGCCUUUCAGAUAAUCUACAUGCCAACACACAUAAGUAGCAUUCAUACUUUAAAUGAGGUCUUAUAUGUGAAUAUAUUUUAUACAAAAGCAUAUAUAUGUGCAUGGAUGAGCACAUCCAGAAUUGGUAGCUGUACAAAUAGAAACUGUCUGAUUGUGGUCUGUAACUGUUUCUUUGGGCUCUGGUCUGAAUUUGGGAGAAUGAGGCAGGAUCAGUGGAAUUUCAAUGUGUUUAACUUUGGGCUGGAAAGUUGGUAAGCAGCAUUCUUCCCUGUGAGUCAUUCACUGCCUGGUACAUAGCGACUCAUCAUCAUGUUUUGGUACCAUGCAGCUGAAUGUGCCUACAUCAACCGCUUGGAGUUUUUCUUCACAUAUUCCCUGACAUCUUUCUAAGAAUGAUGUGUUAGUACUCCUUUCCUGACUGUACUCCAAGUGGAGUAAUAAAAUUGUUGUUUCCAAA